rnacentral:lncRNA from 1 species
UGCCUAGUCUGAGAUCCUUAAAUUUCACCCAAAAUUUGCAGCCCAACCUUUUUUCCUCUGUUUUUUCCCUCAACCUGUUCUCCUUAUUCCUUUUUCCCCCUGAAAUCCUUAAGUUCCACCCGAAAUUAGUAGCCUAACUAUUUUUCCCUAAAUCGGCAGCCCUGAAAUCAAUAUUGAAGGUUUGUUCUCGUGUCUUGAUUUGUUUUUUUUCGUAUGGAUUUUAUAUUAUUUUUGGGUAUGUUUUAAGAUGUGCGUAUCUAUAUUUUAGCUUAUUAUUACUCAAAAAUGGUGAACUUGGAUUCGACUGAUAGAAAAAUGGAUAUGGGUGUUCAUGGUUGUUCAUGGCUGUUCAUCUUUGUUUCCAUAAUUACAAAUGAACAUUUUUUAAAAUAAUUUUUGGGGACUAUUCAUUGGAAUUUAUAAAAUCUAGGGCUUUCAGUUUCUACCAGGUUGAAUUGGAAAGGCUUAAUUUUGACUGUUAGGCAGCUUGUCGAAAUCUCGUUUAACUGUAGAUCCAUUGAGUCAUGGAAAGUUAAAUUUUAGUCUUCAUUGUCCUUCCGUGUAGUUGGAAUUUCAGUAGUGUUUCUGUUUUCAAAUUAAUUCAUGGAGCUGUUACUCGUGAGUUUGACCAUUUAGUGUUAUUUGGGUAGUAUUGGUAGUUUUAAAACUUGAGAAAUUUGCAUUUUAGGUUUUAGGCUAUUUAAAAGAAAAAAAUACUGAUGGAAUUAUGUGGCAGCCUUGUUGCAUGGUGAUUAUGUGUUUGAUGCUGUUAUGAUUGAGAGAUUGUGUUUGCCCCCGGUAUCCUCUAGAUGAAAUAAUGUUGUUAAGUUAGACUCUGAGUAAGUGAGGUGCAAAGGUCAAUAAUCUGUAAUAUGAUGGUAUUGUAAUUGUUCUUCGUAACAAGUCGGUGAAAUUGCAAUCUGUCUCAAAGAUAUUGAAGUGUUAGUUCUCAUAUAUAACUUCAUGUUAUAGAUCUAUUUGUGAAUAUAUCUUCAUGUUUUCGAUCUAAAAAAUAUUUCCUGAAUUUGCUGGAGCUAUUUGAAUCUUGCCCAAUCUUCAUUUCUUAAUUCUAAUGCUGUAACUGUUUCCAUUGAAUUUUAAUUUUUUUUCUUCCUAAUGCUUGUAGGAAAAUAUCAAUUGCUUGCUCGGCAAGAGAUUGGUAAUUUCUUCUUCUGCAUUAUUUCUUUUUGUUCAAAAUAUUUGGUUAAAAGUUUCCUAACUUUGUCAUGUAAUUUACUCUACUAUCCUUUUAUCCUAGCUACCAUCUUCCUCUUGCUUUCUUGCUUGUUAUCGGUUUUACACUGUUUUCUUUUGGGAAAGGGAAGGCAGGGCUUGGGUCUUUGGUUGUGUUAUUAUAAGUGAUGUAGACUGCAGGGAUCUUGUCUGGUUCGGUUCGAGCUUCAAACCCCAGUUUUAAGUGUUACUAAUGUAUGUUUGAGAUAACUUUCGAAAUAUCUUGUUUCCGGGUUCGGGUCUGGUGAGAUUGAUAAUUCAAUAUUAUUGGUAAAUUUGUUUUUAUCUUGCUUUUGUGAGAUUAAAAAUACAAUGGUUUCCCUUUUGCUUGUGUUUUUAUCUUGGUAAAUUUGUGGCACAAAGUAACAUUUAG